ACGAACGCUGGCGGCAUGCCUAACACAUGCAAGUCGAACGAGACCUUCGGGUCUAGUGGCGCACGGGUGCGUAACGCGUGGGAACCUGCCCUUAGGUUCGGAAUAACUCCCCGAAAGGGGUGCUAAUACCGGAUAAUGUCUUCGGACCAAAGAUUUAUCGCCUUUGGAUGGGCCCGCGUUGGAUUAGCUAGUUGGUAGGGUAAAAGCCUACCAAGGCGACGAUCCAUAGCUGGUCUGAGAGGAUGAUCAGCCACACUGGGACUGAGACACGGCCCAGACUCCUACGGGAGGCAGCAGUGGGGAAUAUUGGACAAUGGGCGAAAGCCUGAUCCAGCAAUGCCGCGUGAGUGAUGAAGGCCUUAGGGUUGUAAAGCUCUCUUACCCGGGAUGAUAAUGACAGUACCGGGAGAAUAAGCUCCGGCUAACUCCGUG
rnacentral:rRNA from 1 species